rnacentral:rRNA from 1 species
UGGGGGAUAUUGCACAAUGGAGGAAACUCUGAUGCAGCAACGCCGCGUGAAGGAUGAAGGCUUUCGGGUUGUAAACUUCUGUCUUCUGGGAAGAAUAAAUGACGGUACCAGAGGAGGAAGCCACGGCUAACUACGUGCCAGCAGCCGCGGUAAUACGUAGGUGGCAAGCGUUGUCCGGAUUUACUGGGUGUAAAGGGCGUGUAGGCGGGUUAUUAAGUCAGAUGUGAAAUACCGAGGCUCAACCUCGGGGCUGCAUUUGAAACUGAUAAUCUUGAGUGCUGGAGAGGGAAGCGGAAUUCCUAGUGUAGCGGUGAAAUGCGUAGAUAUUAGGAGGAACACCAGUGGCGAAGGCGGCUUUCUGGACAGUAACUGACGCUGAGGCGCGAAAGCGUGGGGAGCAAACAGG